AAAGACGUCUGCUACAAGACGUCUUGUAAAUGCCUGGCACAAGACGUAUUUAAGACGACUUUCAAAUGCCUGCUACAAGACGUUUUGACGAACUUGCUCGAGUGCAUCCGAUUGCAGUGAAAGUUUAUUAAAUCGUCCAUUGCAGUUAGUUAUACACGUGUUUGGCUGAUUAGCUGUUUAGCUUUUUAAAAUUUUGUGAGCUUACGAUUUAUACAGAACCGAACAUGAAACGAACAAGUGCAAGUGGUAAGCUAACCAAAUAUCACAUGAGGGCCAAAAGAGCCACCGAAAGACAGAAACAUUACAAUUGCGUUAAGAGUUCGGAUAGUGGCGAGAGUUCGGAUAGUGUUUCACAUUCUGGGUGCAGCUCACCUCAACGUUGGAGGUACAAGUGAACCAAUUGUUGGAGGUUCAAGAAUUUUCAAAAUUAGGGGGAUCGUCGGCGUACGACCUAGUGAGAAGGUCUCUUAGCCUCCUUCUAGCUGACCAAAAAACUAUAGAGUAUAGCUGGCUAGGGAGAAAGGGGAAAAAAUAUGUAUGAAUUUAAAUAUUUCCAAAAUGUUGAUAGGUGCAGCGGCAAAAGCAGGCCUUUCGAGCACCGCCAAAGAGACUGAAGACGCCAUCCAAAAUUGGAUUAGAAGAGCGUCUGAUAGACAAAAUACAAAAAAAUAAAU